UGCGCGUGUGUGUUCUGUGCGUCGCGUGCAUGUGCGCGGUACGCACGCACGCACGCACGCACGCACGCACGCGCGCA